GAAAUGCGAUAAGUAAUGUGAAUUGCAGAAUUCAGUGAAUCAUCGAAUCUUUGAACGCACAUUGCGCCCGGUAGUAAUCUGCCGGGCAUGCCUGUCCGAGCGUCGUUUCAGCCCUCGAGCCCCAGUUCAUUCAGGGGAUCGGUGUUGGGGCACUGCCGUAAAACGCAGGCUCCGAAAUGAAGUGGCGGUACCGCCGUGGCGCCCCCAUGCGUAGUAAUUACAUUCUCGCAUCGAGCGCCUGGCGGAGGCCAGCCGUAAAGCCUAUACAUACAUAAUGGUAGUUAGGCCUCGGAUCAGGUAGGGUUACCCGCUGAACUUAA
rnacentral:misc_RNA from 1 species